UUGUUGCACAAACAUCUUCAUUCACUGACCUCACCGUGAGCGAAUACCAGAGGGCUCAAGCGAUGCCUGUGUUAAAAACACAUCCAGGCACGGAUGAAAACAUCAGGCCCGUGGUGUGAGGGUGCCCAAAACGUGCUCCAACACUUUCCCCUGUCCCUGGCUUGCACAGAAAUGGUGUUACAUCUCAGGCCUUCAAAGGGAGUUUGCCUCCUUAGUUUUAGAAGCAGCAUGCACCUUUGCAACGUCGCUCCCAUUUCCACGUUUCCUAGCAGCCUCGUGCCUAACAGCACAGCUCACAGCUCCCUCCCAUUCUACCCAAGGACCACGACACCAUAACAUAGCACUUCAGUCUCCACACGCCAAACUCCAUCAAGCACGGCCGGCUUCGGAGCAAACCCCACCCCAGCAGCAGAUAUUUCCCCAUGCACGCUCCUUGAGGUGCUGGGUGCAAACACAACCACUCUUUUGUUGCUUUCUUUCCACUGCCAACGUGCUCGUGGCAAUGGAAGCACAGCCAGCGCCUGGUCUCACACUGCAGCAGCCAGGCAGGGAGAAGAAAAGCGGACGCACAUUGAUGUGACAAAGGUUGAAGUGAUUUACUGACAGAUCAACAGAAUACAUAAACUGGCAUCUCCUGCAACACCAGGAACUUUAAAAAAAAUAAAAGCAAGUCUCAAUCAGUGCGUGAUACCAUUUUUUCCUCAUCAGAAGACUCUACCUGACCCAGAAGAAGGAAACGCAAUAAAAGCCAUGCAGUAAUUAUUGCUGGAUGCUUUGUGGUUCGUACCUGAGCGAUGGUCCCCAAUGGCUUCAGAAAUAUAAAAUACCAUCCUAACAAUCAAUAGCAUCUUAACAAUACAAAUAUGUACAUCAAGAGAAAAAGCAAAAACACUAGGUAGGGUAGAGACACCUGUAGUUUGUUCUAUUUUUUAUAGAGGGCAGAAGUAUCAAAUGUACAAAAGUGUUCAUGACCAGGGUGGAUGGGGCCCUGGGCAGCCUGAUGUGGUGGCUGGCAAAUCAGCCACGGCAGGAGGUUGGAACCUGGUGACCCUUGAGAUCCCUUCCAACCCAAGGCAUUCCAUGAUUCAAUAAAAAUAAGAGCUUUGAUCUUAAAAUGAGAUUGUUUUUUAACUUUAAAACAAACACAAACUCCAUUCUAAGCCAACCUGAAAUUUCGACUUCUUGCCAUUCCAUUCCUGACAUUUUUCACGUGGGACCUCAAAUACAUUAACCGACAAACCCUUAACGACAGCCUUUUCCAAACAGUUGCGUUCUGCUUAAUGUAACAACCGUAAACCAAAUCAGAAAACUUCGCUGUCAGAUGGGAAACAGACCGAAGAGAAUGAGACUUGCACAAGAGAAUCUGCAGCAGAUUUAACAAAUGACUCAGAGCUUCCACACCCUUUCGUUUACCCACAAAGCCAACCAUUUCCCCGUAAACCUUGUGCAGGAUGAUAUACGAAGACCAAAACAGCAGGUAUCGAGGUUUUGGCAAAGACUCAGCCAGUUUGAGAAGCUGUCCCUGUUGGUUAUGAGGCUUCGUAGUUACAGAUGCUGGAUUAUUCACUCAGAGAUAACUGACACGUCCUGAAGUCAAUGCCCUACCCAAACACAACCUGAAGGACUGGAUUUUGCCCUUAACGUGGAGCCGCUGUGACAGA